rnacentral:rRNA from 1 species
AUUGAACGCUGGCGGCAUGCUUUACACAUGCAAGUCGGACGAGUGGCGGACGGGUGAGUAACGCAUGGGAACUUACCGAGUAAUGGGGGAUAACUGUCCGAAAGGACAGCUAAUACCGCAUACCAUUCGAUCUGCCCAUGUCGGAUUAGCUGGUUGGUGGGGUAAAGGCCCACCAAGGCGACGAUCAGUAGCGGGUCUGAGAGGAUGAUCGUCCACAAUGGAGCUGAGACACGGCCCAGACUCCUACGGGAGGCAGCAGUGGGGAAUUUUGGACAAUGGGCGCAAGCCUGAUCCAGCCAUGCCGCGUGUCUGAAGAAGGCCUUCGGGUUGUAAAGGACUUUUAGCGGGGAAGCGGUACCUGAAGAAUAAGCACCGGCUAACUACGUGCCAGCAGCCGCGGUAAUAC